rnacentral:lncRNA from 1 species
GGUAAUUCUGAUACAUAUAUCAUGUCAGAAAUCAUUGGCUACAAAUUUUUUUUAAUUCUAACAGCCAGGCAUUUGAACAUAUUGGCCGACUCUUCGAACGGGUGUAACCGCUGCAGCAGUUACACCCGUGCGAAGAGUCAGCUGACCCUAAAAGAAUGGGAGAUGGCCAUAAGCAGCCAAGGAACAGUCAGUUUUGCUCCAGCAAUCAAGAGAAUAAAUUCUGUCAAUAAUGAAUAAAUAUUCAAGGGUAUUUAUUCAUUAAGUUCUUUUAGUUUCUUAACUGUAAUUAAAGUUUUAUUUUAUAAUUUAUUAAUUUAUCUUUAUUUACAGACUAUUUUACACUCG